GGGGGGGCUACAGCAACAGGAAAUGACUCAUUUACUACCAGUUGCUCAGGUAUUUUAAAGAGCUUCCACUUUUGUGUACCUAAGAGAAAAAGGCUGCUGAUGGUGGGGGAAAGCCUGAUGCAUGACAUAAAAGUGACUUUCGUUGCUGAAAGAGCAAAGGCAGAAGAACGAUUCUGUGACAAGAGGAUAUAAAAUACCCUGCAAUUCGUCAACAAGAAGAAUCAAACUCGGCUGGAGCGAUCGGCAUUCUUGGGGAUUAUGAAAAGGAUUACGAGCUAUGAGCCUGCAGUCCUGGUACGAUAACAUCUAACUUCCGUGAGACUCCACAGGGCCAGAGUCUGCCUGUAUUUCCCAUGCCGAGCAGUGCUUUGCUCCAUGAUCAGCUUGAAAUGAAGACAGCAAGAAGCCUGUGCCAUCUCUUCUUCUGCAGAUGUUACAAGCUCUUGGAAACCAACUUUCUGCUCCGCGUUUGCCCAAGAUUGGAAGGAGGUAGCCAGCUCCUGCCCAGCUCUCUGAAGCCUGAGACAAAGGCAGAGGUGACCAGGUUUCCUCCUCCUCUUUGGAGUGCAGAAGUGGCCAACAUGAGGGAA
rnacentral:lncRNA from 1 species